ACACGUCUAUAUUAGAUACCCCUGUAGUCCCAGCCGUAAACUAUGCGCGUUAGGUGUAUCGGUGACCACGAGUUACCGAGGUGCCGAAGGGAAACCGUGAAACGUGCCGCCUGGGAAGUACGGUCGCAAGGCUGAAACUUAAAGGAAUUGGCGGGGAGCACCACAACAGGUGGAGCCUGCGGUUUAAUUGGACUCAACGCCGGGAAGCUCACCGGAUAGGACAGCAGAAUGAUUGCCGGGCUGAAGACCCUGCAUGACUAGCUG
rnacentral:rRNA from 1 species